UGGGGAAUAUUGCACAAUGGGGGAAACCCUGAUGCAGCGACGCCGCGUGAGUGAAGAAGUAUUUCGGUAUGUAAAGCUCUAUCAGCAGGGAAGAGAUUGACGGUACCUGACUAAGAAGCCCCGGCUAAUUACGUGCCAGCAGCCGCGGUAAUACGUAGGGGGCAAGCGUUAUCCGGAUUUACUGGGUGUAAAGGGAGCGUUGGCGGCGGAGCAAGUCAGAAGUGAAAGCCCGGGGCUCAACCCCGGGACGGCUUUUGAAACUGUCCUGCUUGAUUUCAGGAGAGGAAAGCGGAAUUCCUAGUGUAGCGGUGAAAUGCGUAGAUAUUAGGAGGAACACCAGUGGCGAAGGCGGCUUUCUGGACUGACAAUGACGCUGAGGCUCGAAAGCGUGGGGAGCAAACAGGAUUAGAUACCCUGGUAGU
rnacentral:rRNA from 1 species